rnacentral:rRNA from 1 species
GAUUAUGGCUCAGGAUGAACGCUGGCGGCGUGCUUAAUACAUGCAAGUCGAACGAAGAUAUUUCGCUGAGGCGAGCUUGCUCAAUUCUUGAAAUAUCUUAGUGGCGGACGGGUGAGUAACGCGUGGGUAACCUGCCUUACACAGGGGGAUAACAGUUAGAAAUGACUGCUAAUACCGCAUAAGCGCACGGUAUCGCAUGAUACAGUGUGAAAAAGAUUUAUCGGUGUAAGAUGGACCCGCGUCUGAUUAGCUAGUUGGUGAGGUAACGGCCCACCAAGGCGACGAUCAGUAGCCGGCCUGAGAGGGUGAACGGCCACAUUGGGACUGAGACACGGCCCAAACUCCUACGGGAGGCAGCAGUAGGGAAUAUUGGACAAUGGGGGCAACCCUGAUCCAGCCGACGCCGCGUGAGUGAAGAAGUAUUUCGGUACGUAAAGCUCUAUCAGCAGGGAAGAAAAUGACGGUACCUGACUAAGAAGCACCGGCUAAAUACGUGCCAGCAGCAGC